rnacentral:rRNA from 1 species
GAUGAACGCUGGCGGCGUGCCUAACACAUGCAAGUCGAACGGCAACGCCCUGCUUUCUUGCGGUUACCGAGUGGCGAACGGGUGAGUAACACGUGAGUAACCUGCUCUUCACUUUCGGAUAACUUCAGGAAACGGGGCCUACUACAGGAUAGGAGCUCACGCUGGGUGGUGGGGGUUGGAAAGUCUCGGCGGUUGGGGAUGGAUGGGCGGCUUACGGGUUAGUUGGUGGGCUAGUGGCUGACCAAGGGUUUGACGGGUAGCCGACCUGGGAGGGUGGACGGGGACAUUGGGACUGAGAUACGGCCCAGACUCGUACGGGAGACAGAGGUGGGAAGUAUUACACAGUGAGCGGGAGCCUGUGACGGAGGCGCCGGGUGCGGGAAGACGGCCUGCGGGUUAUGAACCGCAGUCGCCUAAGACCAAGCGGUAGUGACGGUAAUGAGUGAAGAAGCACCGGCUAACUACGUG